GGAAGGAUCAUUAACACUUGGGUCUCAGUACCCGCAACCAAACCACAUGUCAACCAUUUACCUGUGCUGUCCUCGGACGGCACCAACCCUUUUUCAACCACAUCAAAACAUGAAACUAAAUCAAGAAAAACAUUAUAACCAAAAUUACAACUCUUAGCAAUGGAUAUCUUGGUUCCCACAACGAUGAAGAACGCAGCGAAAUGCGAUACGUAAUGCGAAUUGCAGAAUUCAGUGAAUCAUCAAAUCUUUGAACGCAAGUUGCGCCUUCGAGUAUCCUUGAAGGCAUGCCUCUUUGAGUAUCGGUUUCUAAAUCUUUGAAUUGAGUUUCAAGAGACUGAGAUGUUUCCCGCGUCUGACGUGGGAAUCUCUUCAAGUUUAGUGAGCGCAACCACAGCCAAUGGACUUUUCGACAAACAAGUCUCAUUACUAGGCGACGGUACACGCAAAUCCAAACAACAAGAUCUCAAAUGAGGUAAGACUACCCGCUGAAUUUAAGCAUAUAAUUAAGCGGAGGAAAAGAAACUAACAAGGAUUCCCUCAGUAACGGCGAGUGAAGCGGGAAGAGUUCAAACCGAAAAUCUCUGGCUUGCCAGCGAAUUGUGGUCUAUUGAAGCGUGUCUCAGUGUACAGACCCGGCCUAAAUCGAUUGGAACAUCGUAUCAGAGAGGGUGAGAAUCCCGUCUUUGGCUGGGAGCCUGUCGCGUUCGAGCCGUUCUCGAAGAGUCGGGUUGCUUGGGAGUGCAGCCCUAAGUGGGUGGUAAAUUUCAUCUAAAACUAAAUAUAUGUGGGAGACCGAUAGCGAACAAGUACCGUGAGGGAAAGAUGAAAAGAACUUUGAAAAGAGAGUCAAAAAGUACUUGAAAUUGCUGAGAACGAAGGGAUGGCGACUAGUAAUGGUCCGGGCAUUCACGUGCCCGGUCUCUAGGUCAGAAUGGAUUGGCUUCGGUUGAGAAGGCGAGCGGGAAGGUAUCUCGUCCUCGGGCGAGAACUUAUAGCCCGUUCGUCACGAAACUGUCGCUGAUUGAGGUGCUGAAGUACGCGCUUAGCUUGUUGUGUUCCUCGCUGUCUGGUUGUCGUCGUUGGGGAACAAAGUUCCGUCUCGAUUGGCAGCCUGCACUCGGGGUCUCACUCAAACGUCGUACUCGGGAUUCUGACGAAAUGGUCGUCAUUCGCCCGUCUUGAAACACGGACCAAGGAGUCUUACAUAUAUGCGAGUAAUCAAGUGGAAAACUUGCUUGCGCAAUGAAAGUAAUUGAAUGUGAUCCCGUUCGCGGGAGCAACAUCGGGCGGCUAAAAUAUCUGUACGACCAUGAGCAUAUCUGUAGGGACCCGAAAGAUGGUGAACUAUGCUUGAGCAGGAUGAAGCCAGGGGAAACUCUGGUGGAAGUCCGAAGCGAUACUGACGUGCAAAUCGUUCGUCUGACUUGAGUAUAGGGGCGAAAGACUAAUCGAACUAUCUAGUAGCUGGUUCCCUC
rnacentral:misc_RNA from 1 species